rnacentral:rRNA from 1 species
AUGAACGCUGGCGGCGUGCCUAAUACAUGCAAAUCGCGCGAACGGACGAGAAGCUUGCUUCUCUGAUGUUAGCGGCGGACGGGUGAGUAACACGUGGAUAACCUACCUAUAAGACUGGGAUAACUUCGGGAAACCGGAGCUAAUACCGGAUAAUAUUUUGAACCGCAUGGUUCAAAAGCGAAAGACGGUCUUGCUGUCACUUAUAGAUGGAUCCGCGCUGCAUUAGCUAGUUGGUAAGGUAACGGCUUACCAAGGCAACGAUGCAUAGCCGACCUGAGAGGGUGAUCGGCCACACUGGAACUGAGACACGGUCCAGACUCCUACGGGAGGCAGCAGUAGGGAAUCUUCCGCAAUGGGCGAAAGCCUGACGGAGCAACGCCGCGUGAGUGAUGAAGGUCUUCGGAUCGUAAAACUCUGUUAUUAGGGAAGAACAUAUGUGUAAGUAACUGUGCACAUCUUGACGGUACCUAAUCAGAAAGCCACGGCUAACUACGUG